GGGGGCAUGGCGGAACUGGUAGACGCGCUCGACUCAAAAUCGAGUGGCUUCGGCCUUGGGGGUUCGAGUCCCCCUGCCCCUA
rfam:Caenispirillum salinarum AK4 contig4, whole genome shotgun sequence.